rnacentral:rRNA from 1 species
ACAUCCAGAGAAUUUAGCAGAGAUGCUUUAGUGCCUUCGGGAACUCUGAGACAGGUGCUGCAUGGCUGUCGUCAGCUCGUGUUGUGAAAUGUUGGGUUAAGUCCCGCAACGAGCGCAACCCUUAUCCUUUGUUGCCAGCACGUAAUGGUGGGAACUCAAAGGAGACUGCCGGUGAUAAACCGGAGGAAGGUGGGGAUGACGUCAAGUCAUCAUGGCCCUUACGAGUAGGGCUACACACGUGCUACAAUGGCGCAUACAAAGAGAAGCGACCUCGCGAGAGCAAGCGGACCUCAUAAAGUGCGUCGUAGUCCGGAUUGGAGCCUGCAACUCGACUCCAUGAAGUCGGAAUCGCUAGUAAUCGUAAAUCAGAAUGUUACGGUGAAUACGUUCCCGGGCCUUGUACACACCGCCCGUCACACCAUGGGAGUGGGUUGCAAAAGAAGUAGAUAGCUUAACCUUCGGGAGGGCGUUUACCACUUUGUGAUUCAUGACUGGGGUGAAGUCGUAACAAGGUAAGCGUAGUGCU